CAGAGUUUGAUCCUGCUCAGGAUGAACGCUAGCUACAGGCUUAACACAUGCAAGUCGAGGGGAAACGACAUCGAAAGCUUGCUUUGAUGGGCGUCGACCGGCGCACGGGUGAGUAACGCGUAUCCAACCUGCCCACCACUUGGGGAUAACCUUGCGAAAGUAAGACUAAUACCCAAUGACGUCUCUAGAAGACAUCUGAAAGAGAUUAAAGAUUUAUCGGUGAUGGAUGGGGAUGCGUCUGAUUAGCUUGUUGGCGGGGUAACGGCCACCAAGGCGACGAUCAGUAGGGGUUCUGAGAGGAAGGUCCCCCANAUUGGAACCUGAGACACGGUCCAAACUCCUACGGGAGGCA
rnacentral:rRNA from 1 species